UUGUGCUCGGCUGCGUGAGGCCGGCGGGCACUGCCGAGAGCCAAAGCGAGGUGUCUGACGGGCCGCGGAUGGCAUGCAGGCGAGCCAAUUUUUUCUGCCCUCCCUUUGGUUUUCGGGGAGGGGGUGCGGCGGAGAGGAGAUGAGCCUGUGCCUGCAGUUGGCAUCCCCCCAGCUGUGACGAAGGGCAGCCCCGCUUGCAUAGGAAAUCAUGCUGAUUUCUGCUUGGGCUCAAAGCCUUGCCCCCUUUGGUACAAGCCCCAGCCAGUCCAUUAGAACUGCAUACUGCCUACUGAAAAUUAGUCCCAAGGCUCCACCUUAUAGCAAGAGGGCCAGGAAGUGUGGAGGAGCCCAGGAUAUUUGAUGGAAAUCUGAGAUCCUGACAUCUAAGAAGAGACCUGAUUUUGGCCUUGUGUUUCCUCUCAGAGGAGAAGACCAUAUGGUGGAGAGACUGACGUGAAACCACUCUAACAAAAUAAGUCGACAGUUUUGGCAACCAGGAAGGAAACCAGAGCAGACGUCUCUCCUUCGCCUGAGCUCUGAGGAUCUGAGCCUUGGUACCAGCAGAGGCCUUGUGGGCCCAUCCGCCUCCUCGGAGAGUCCAGAAGAAUUUGGACUUUAAAUGAAGCAAGGACAUAGUCAAGAAAACCUCUAGUGAACACAAAGACUUUGAGAAAAAGAUAUACUCAAGUCCCACCUCCCACCAAGAAAGAGAAAAAUAAGGGUCAGGCAUCUGAGAUAAAAUCACAAUGGAAUUCAGAGAAUGACAAAAACAAAGUGUUUGGGAUCCCUUGGUGUGGAGCUUAAAAAGAGUCUAGAUUGUAUGAAAGAUGUGUGAUGCAGACAACUCUUGCACCCCACUUCACCAUGCUCUGAGCCCCACCUGGCACUCCAAACUCUGCUACAGUGAGGUGACCAUCUCCAUGCGACCCUCCAUCGGCUGUGGCAGAUGCAACCCAACAGUGCUUUUCCUUGGGUCACAUAACUACCGCUUACUGCCUGGAGACUUCUCUGACACUUGAGCGUGGGAUAUUCUUGGAAUCUUGCAAAAUGUUCAGAUGUGCCGGGAACUUAAUAUCUGAGGAGUCUGUCUGUCCAAACAGGGAUGGGAACUGACAGAUAAAUGCUUUUAUCUUUCAUCCCCUAAGCAAACAGCUCUGACAUAUUUCAUAAGGCUUCUCAGAAUGUGUCACGGGCUUGAGUGCCAGUCACCUGUUUGGUGGCCAACUUGACAAUAUAUCCUAGAACCAGCUUUUGUGUCUUUCCUCUUUCACAUGUCCUGCUAUGGGCUUCUAUUCCUUAGAAUCAGAUGCUCCUCAAAAUUAUUGGCAAUCCAGUCUCUGUCUCAGCUCUUUGGAAAAGACUAAAACAAAAACAGUGAGGAUAUAGAGGAAGAAAGAAGGAAAAAAAAAAAACCAGGAGUAAAUAAAUCAUGUAUUGUUCCUAAAAAAGUAGACAGUUAAUUGAUUUAUGUCCUAAAUCAAGGCUAUGUUGUUAUGAGUAACUUAGAGAAAGUGGGAGAGUUUUACAGGUAACUGGGAUUUUCAAGUUCCUGAUUGACUGAGAGCACAAUCCCCAAAUGUCCCAUUCUCCAGGAUUUUAAAUGUGUUGUCUAAAUGGAGAUCUAGAAAAAUAUAUUUCCUUCCAAUCCCAA